GUAAGGAAUAUUGGUCAAUGGAGGCAACUCUGAACCAGCCAUGCCGCGUGCAGGAAGACGGCCCUCUGGGUUGUAAACUGCUUUUAUCUGGGAAGAAAAAGGCCAUGCGUGGCAAAUUGCCGGUACCAGAUGAAUAAGCACCGGCUAACUCCGUGCCAGCAGCCGCGGUAAUACGGAGGGUGCGAGCGUUGUCCGGAUUUAUUGGGUUUAAAGGGUGCGUAGGCGGCUGAUUAAGUCAGCGGUGAAAGACUUCGGCUUAACCGGAGCAGUGCCGUUGAUACUGGUUGGCUUGAGUGUCGGAGGGGUACAUGGAAUUGAUGGUGUAGCGGUGAAAUGCAUAGAUACCAUCAGGAACACCGAUAGCGAAGGCAUUGUACUGGCCGACAACUGACGCUGAUGCACGAAAGUGUGGGGAUCGAACAGGAUUUGAUACCCCAGUAGUCC
rnacentral:rRNA from 1 species